CUUCAACGAGCCCAGCCACAGCGGCUUCCCGGGGUCCCGGCCCUGUCCGUACGUCGCCAGCAGCGCCUGCGCCUC
rnacentral:antisense_RNA from 1 species